AAAUUGAAGAGUUUGAUCAUGGCUCAGAUUGAACGCUGGCGGCAGGCCCAACACAUGCAAGUCGAACGGUAACAGGAAGCAGCUGCUGCUUUGCUGACGAGUGGCGGACGGGUGAGUAAUGCCCGGGAAACCGCCUGAUGGAGGGGGAUAACUACUGGAAACGGUGGCUAAUACCGCAUAACGUCGCAAAGACCAAAGAGGGGACCUUCGGGCCUCUUGCCAUCAGAUGUGCCCAGAUGGGAUUAGCUGGUUGGUGAGGUAACGGCUCACUGCUAUGACGAUCCCUAGCUGGUCUGAGAGGAUGACCAGCCACACUGGAACUGAGACACGGUCCAGACCCUACGGGAGGCAGCAGUGGGGAAUAUUACCAAUGGGCGCAAGCCUGAUGCAGCCAUGCCGCGUAAUGGUUGAAGGCCUUCGGGUUGUAAAGUACUUUCAGCGGGAGGAAGGUGUUGUGGUUAAUAACCGCAGCAAUUGACGUUACCCAGAAGAAGCACCGGCUAACCUGCGCCAGCAGCCGCGGUACGAUGGAGGUGCAAGCGUUAAUCGGAAUUACUGGGCGUAAAGCGCACGGCAGGCGGUCUGUCAAGUCGGAUGUGAAAUCCCGGGCUCAACCCGGAACUGCAUUCGAAACUGGCAGGCUUGAGUCUUGUAGAGGGGGGGGUAGAAUUCCGUGUGUGUAGCGGUGAAAUGCGGAGAUCUGGAGGAAUACCGGUGGCGAAGGCGGCCCCCGGGAAAGACUGACGCUCAGGUGCGAAAGCGCGUGGGAGCAAAUGUGAUUGAUACCCCGGGUAGUCCACGCCGUAAAACGAUGUCUACUUGGAGGUUGUGCCCUUUGGAGGCGUGGCUUCCGGAGCUAACGCGUUAAGUAGACCGCCUGGGAGUAUACGGCCGCAAGGUUAAAAACUCAAAUGAAUUGACGGGGCCCGCACAAGCGGUGGAGCAUGUGGUUUUAAUUCGAUGCAACGCGAAGAACCCACCGGCCUUGACAUCCACAGAACUUUCCAGAGAUGGACUGGUGCCUCGGGAACUGUGAGACAGGUGCCGUAAUGGCUGUCGUCAGCCUCGUGUUGUGAAAUGUUACAAGUCCCGCAACGAGCGCAACCCUUAUCCUUUGUUGCCAGCGGUUAGGCCGGGAACUCAAAGGAGACCGCCAUGAUAACCGAGCAGGGGAUGACGUCGUCAUCAUGGCCCCUACGACCGUGGUCCAUCAAUGCGCUACAAUGGCGCAUACAAAGAGAAGGACCUCGCGAGAGCAAGCGGACCUCAUAAAGUGCGUCGUAGUCCGGAUUGUGCCCGCAACUCGACCCAUGAAGUCGGAAUCGCUAGUAAUCGUGUGGAUCAGAAUGCCACGGUGAAUACGCCGUUCCCGGCCUUGCGGCCAUACCGCCCGUCACAAUCAUGGGGAGUGGGUUGCAAAAGAAGUAGGUAGCUUUAACCUCGGAGCGCCACCACUUUGUGAUUCAUGACUGGGGUGAAGUCGUAACAAGGUAACCGUAGGGAACCUGCGGCUGGAUCACCUCCUUA
rnacentral:rRNA from 1 species